AUGCAUGCAUGUGACUCUCGUUUUUGUUUACCACGUUACGUACGUACAGCCAGCAGCCGUGUGCACGUACGUACGUGCGUACGACCACUACUGCAUGGAACGUGUGCUCCUACUUCUCCACCGAUGGACGCAGCACCUAGGUAUACACGUGAGGUUGCGAGCCUACGGGCCGGCACACUACUCACUCGUCCCGUGGCUGGACGGACAGCGAGGAAAUUAUUAAGAGCUAGCCUAGCUGUAUGGCACAUUGCUGGCACACGUACUACCCAAAGCUAUCAUCGAUUCUAUACCCGGCAUCCAUAA
rnacentral:rRNA from 1 species